rnacentral:rRNA from 1 species
UACGUAGGGUGCGAGCGUUAAUCGGAAUUACUGGGCGUAAAGCGUGCGCAGGCGGUUCGCUGUGUCCUGUGUGAAAGCCCCGGGCUCAACCGGGGAAGGGGCGCCGAAACGGCCCGUCUGGAGGGGGGUAGGGGGCGCUGGAACUCACGGUGGAGCGGUGAAAUGCGUUGAGAUCGUGAGGAACGCCCGCGGCGAAAGCGAGCGCCUGGACCCUUUCUGACGCUGAGACGCGAAAGCCAGGGGAGCGAACGGG